UGAUGUAUAUUUGCUAUAUAAAUAUGGCUAACCCCUAAGGGCGGAUGCUACUUUAGUUUGUAGCCCCAGCAGGACACCUCCUCCAACUGGCCAUAGACACACUUUCUGUGCCCUAUCAGUAUUUGCAAAGGGAAACCAUCUUUCCCGUCUUCAACUUAUGAUACACACGGCUCGAGA